rnacentral:rRNA from 1 species
GAAUCGCUAGUAAUCGUGGAUCAGAAUGUCACGGUGAAUACGUUCCCGGGCCUUGUACACACCGCCCGUCACACCAUGGAAGUGGACUGCACCAGAAGUGGUUAGCCUAACUUCGGAAGGCGAUCACCACGGUGUGGUUCAUGACUGGGGUGAAGUCGUAACAAGGUAGCCGUAGGGGAACCUGCGGCUGGAUCACCUCCUU